rnacentral:snRNA from 1 species
GUGUUCACUUCAUCAGCAUCUAUACUAAAACUGGAACUGUACAGAGAUUAGCAUGGCCAUUGUGCAAAGAUGACAUGCAAAUUUGUGAAAUGUUCCAUAUUUUU